UCCUGCUGGGCUGUGGACAUUUGAGUUAGAGCGUCCGCUUGACUAUUCAGGAGGUUUCCUUGCAGGGUGAUGGCGUGACGGAGCCCCACCGGGUCAGCUGGGUCAGAAGUUUGGCCAGUUCGUUCUGUCAUGAUAUGACGCAGAUUCUGAAUGACCCAAGUGCUGGAACCCGGAAGGAGACUCGGACAGGAGGUAAGUCUGAAGUAGAUUUUAAUUUGGCUGAAGAUGAGUGUUGGCGUCUUCCCAGAAGGUGGAGCGUCAGCUGGCUGGAGGCGUCUUGACGAGGAGAUCCAGGAGCGAAGCACGAGUGACCAGAGGACUGCGACCAGGAGCAAGGAUAGGUCAGACUAAGCACCAUGGGAGGAACAACGAACUGGCGUCGGCUGAAGAUCCACAGACUCCUUAAGAAGGCUGCAGCAGUGAUGAGGUGAGUGAGAACAGCUGGUCGCGUCAAAGGCAGAGAAGGUGGGGGAGGGGGAGAGUAACUGACAGGCCACCAUGACACCAGCUGCA